AACUGUUUGUCUAACACGCAGUACUGUCUGGAAUAUACACCUUUUCACACAAACAUGCCCAGGCAACCCACUCCCUGCCCUCCACCCUACUCUGCACAUGGGUGUCUGGGUAGCAGCUGCACACCUUCUGCUGCCUCUUCUCUUUCCCCUCCGCCUCCUUCCUCCUCUCCUUCUGGAUUUAAUUGAAAAUGAUCCUCUUAGGUUGUCUAGCUACCUAUAUCUGGAGGAGAAACACUCACUGGAGAUGUGCUUGUUUGCUUGGCUGACAAGAUAAGGCAACACUGCAGACAGAUGGCUGUUUUGUUGCUGUUGAAUUAGACCACAUGGGACUCCUGUAUUCAUCCCCCCCAGAGAAAAUAUGAAGGUGUAGCUAAAGUUAUAGCUCCUCUUGUGGUUUUAUUUAAAGAGCUAAAUGUGGGUUUUUACCAGGGCGUAUCAGGUACUUAGCAAUUUCUGGCACUGAAUUGUUUCUAGACUCAGCUGCUGCUUUAAUUCUCAGUCAAAAACUGUUCAUUAAAGGCGAGGUUGAAUGGUGGUAACAGUGUACCAGUCCACCAGCUGUACAAACUUGGCUUGUAUUCAGAGAGUUUAUUGAUCGUGAGACUUGUGCUCUAUUGAAAAAGUCUCCUUUGCUCUGUCACUCCAGGAAUAGUGAUGGUGAUGCAUGUGCAAUCAAUGGUAGAUUUGCACAAGAUAAUCAAAUUUCAAAUGAAGUAUGUCUAGUUAAUUUAUUGACGCUGGCUUAUCAGGUGUAAUUUCUAAUGCAGAGUUUGCAUAAACAGUCACAAACAUUGCAUUUUUCACAUGCCUCUCCCUCCUCAUGUCAGACCUCUUUUGAGUUUGUUAUUAAUGUGUUUGUUUAUGCAGUGUUGGUGUUUGUGUAGAAAGGAAAUCAUGCACAAUCGACGUGCACAGAGACUGUGAUUGUUUUGUUAGGACAUUGCGACACAGCGGAGGUGGGUGGAGGUUUCUGUGCUGAGCUGUGAAAGCCAAGCAUGUUGCAGAACUGUACAGUCGAUGCAUAACCAACAGGUUCAUUCCUACCGUCAAACAUAGUUAAAGGGUAUAUCGCAGCGUGUUUUGACAUUUUUCCGCUGCAAACAUUGGUCUUCACUCCCACCACCACCGUUUCCUGUCCAAUGUGGCCGUCAAAGCUACAAUGUUCCGUGCAGUAAAUCUCAUAACUUCUACAGCCUCGUGUUUGGAGCAUUAGCAGGCUAUUCCAUGUUUUGUGGAGCUCUCUAGUGGCCAAAUGUGAUACAUGAAAAACUAGGUUGUGUGAGGUUGUUGUUGUUGUUGUUGUUGUUGCAGUGCAGCAUUAGCUGAAGACAUUUUGAGUAUUUAAUAUUGUGCAUGAGACAACAAACUGUUGCUUUAGUCUCCAGAAAGGAGGGGUGUUAGUUGUUUUGGCUCUGUCCGUACAUCUCCGAGGGUAGUGUCCUACAUCUUCUAUAGGAAAUGAACAAUUCCUGUGGCUGUCUUAACGCUGACAAUACGAAGACAUUUUGAAUUAGAUCACAUGCUUGUGGUGUCUUUCUUUGGCUUUUAGACUCUUCUUAAACCUCUUUCCUGUACAUUCUGUCCUGAAUUCAUAACUGAGUUCAUGGCAGCGAGGAUGCCACAGGGAGCCUGCUGAUUGGCUGUGACACUGACUCUGCUCAGACAUACAGUAUCUCCUUGAGGUGCAUGAGAUGGCGAACAGAUCAGGUCCUUGGAAGCAUGAGUGGGAGCAGAGCUUGCCAUAGCACGAACUGCAAUUGUGUAUUGUGCAAAGUUUUUUUUUUUUUUUUUUUUUUUCUGUGUAGCUGGCAUCACUAAGGAGAGCCAAAGAGGGAUUUACAUUCUGGCAAAAUGAGCCACGCAGAAUAAGCAGUUGAUAAAGCUCUGUAAUGGUAGUAAGUACUGAGGGGACGUGUGCAUACUGUACGGGAGGUGUAAUACUAUACAAAUGGGCUUGCUGCUGGAUGAAGGCAGUAGGCAGUGGUUUGAGACCUUUGUUCCAGUACACUUUGUGCCAGCGCCUGUCAUGGUGACCUGAUAUUUGCUGCUGCUCUGCCCUGCCUGCCUGGCAGUGUGUGGGGAGAUGCUUGUUAUAAUUGAUUUCCCAUAUUUUCUGCAACAAGAAGGAUACACAGUGGUUCUUUCUUACUUCUGUUUCAUUCUUUUCAUCCCUUCAUCUUAUCCUUUCUUUCUCUUCCCCCCUCUUUUCUUCUUUUGUUCCUGUAGAUUCCCUGUUCUUCAACGCCCCUUUCCUUGAUUUCAAAAGCAUUUUUCAUCCAAGUUGUUAUGAUGUCUAGUUAAUCCUGAACCAUCAGCGAGCGGUUGAUUUAAAGGAUUAAUUUCAAAUGCCAUGGAGCCUCACUGUCCGGCUACACCUCACUGCUGCACUCUAAGCUCGAUAAUAGACCUCAAAGGAAGACAUUCGGCGUGAUUGAGAGUUUCACCUGCUGCUGUGUUGAGCUCUAACGUGCCAGAGAGCUGCUGCUUGAUAAACUGCACGUACCUAAAAGUACAAGGAGGUCCCCAGGGACCAGAGCUGGAAUUUGAGCUAAGUUGCUUCUCGUACGGUCCAACUCACCCCAGCUAAGAAAAAUAUGCAUGCGCAGUUUUAGACACGACGGCAUAUUUUCACGGGUGCUUUCUGACACCUUGAAUGUUGACACUGACAGUUGGUUUCCUUCAGAGCUUGUUUUCACUCCCUCCAUCUGUGUAACAACCUUUCCUCCUGACAACUAAUGUUACAGGUCUCUCCUUUUCCAUGAAAUCUACAUUAUUCCAUUUCUAUAGAGUUUUUAUUUUAAUAGUGUCAGUAACACUCUCUAGAACAACCUGAUAUUUCUAUGUCUAGUCUUCCUCGCAUGACAGAUAGACCGGCCAGGUUUAUCGCUCACCGCGCAGAGUGGAAACUGCAACACAAACUCAUCACUGUACCUCUCAUCAGGGGUCGCGUCCUGACAUUAUCCCACGAAGAGCAAUGCAAUAUUUAUAGCCCGGGGGUUGUCAGGGGUAUAUGUGUGGUUAUUUUCCCCAGACGUAAUUAUUGCCAGAGUGCAGACUGUUACCAGGGGAUGAACAGAGAGAGAGAGGGUGGGCGUGUCUUACCCACAGUUUCAGAACAACAUCUGUGACUGUCAAGCCCCAGAGGAAGUUUUUUUUAUUUAUUUGUUAUUCCCAUAAUGCUUUUAGAGAACGCAGCUUCUUAAUUUC